GGCGGCCGUAGCGCGGUGGUCCCACCUGACCCCAUGCCGAACUCAGAAGUGAAACGCCGUAGCGCCGAUGGUAGUGUGGGGUUUCCCCAUGCGAGAGUAGGGAACUGCCAGGC
rnacentral:rRNA from 15 species